UACGUAGGCAGCAAGCGUUGUUCGGAGUUACUGGGCGUAAAGGGUGUGUAGGCGGUUGUUUAAGUUUGGUGUGAAAUCUCCCGGCUCAACCGGGAGGGUGCGCCGAAUACUGAGUGACUAGAGUGCGGGAGAGGAAAGUGGAAUUCCUGGGGUAGCGGUGAAAUGCGUAGAUAUCAGGAGGAACACCGGUGGUGUAGACGGCUUUCUGGACCGUAACUGACGCUGAGACACGAAAGCGUGGGUAGCAAACAGG
rnacentral:rRNA from 1 species